CUGGAGCAAGCCACCCUUGAGAAUCACGCCCGAGCCGAGACCCUGAGCUCCAACCUGCGUCUGGCCCAGGAUGAAGCCCUGAGAGCCAAGACCUAUGUGGAACGGGUCCGACUCAACCCCCAGGAGAAGCCCCCCAGCCUGGACCCACUCCACAUCCUGCUCAGCUGCCUGCAGGCCCAGCUGUCCCAUGAGGGGGGGCCCCAGCCCAUGGCGCCGCCUCCCAUGCAGCAGCGCUGAAUCCCACCGCUGCCACCAAUAAAGCACCUGCCCAGG